GAUGAACGCUGGCGGCGUGCCUAAUACAUGCAAGUCGAGCGAACGGACGAGAAGCUUGCUUCUCUGAUGUUAGCGGCGGACGGGUGAGUAACACGUGGAUAACCUACCUAUAAGACUGGGAUAACUUCGGGAAACCGGAGCUAAUACCGGAUAAUAUUUUGAACCGCAUGGUUCAAAAGUGAAAGACGGUCUUGCUGUCACUUAUAGAUGGAUCCGCGCUGCAUUAGCUAGUUGGUAAGGUAACGGCUUACCAAGGCAACGAUGCAUAGCCGACCUGAGAGGGUGAUCGGCCACACUGGAACUGAGACACGGUCCAGACUCCUACGGGAGGCAGCAGUAGGGAAUCUUCCGCAAUGGGCGAAAGCCUGACGGAGCAACGCCGCGUGAGUGAUGAAGGUCUUCGGAUUGUAAAACUCUGUUAUUAGGGAAGAACAUAUGUGUAAGUAACUGUGCACAUCUUGACGGUACCUAAUCAGAAAGCCACGGCUAACUACGUGCCAGCAGCCGCGGUAAUACGUAGGUGGCAAGCGUUAUCCGGAAUUAUUGGGCGUAAAGCGCGCGUAGGCGGUUUUUUAAGUCUGAUGUGAAAGCCCACGGCUCAACCGUGGAGGGUCAUUGGAAACUGGAAAACUUGAGUGCGGAAGAGGAAAGUGGAAUUCCAUGUGUAGCGGUGAAAUGCGCAGAGAUAUGGAGGAACACCAGUGGCGAAGGCGACUUUCUGGUCUGUAACUGACGCUGAUGUGCGAAAGCGUGGGGAUCAAACAGGAUUAGAUACCCUGGUAGUCCACGCCGUAAACGAUGAGUGCUAAGUGUUAGGGGGUUUCCGCCCCUUAGUGCUGCAGCUAACGCAUUAAGCACUCCGCCUGGGGAGUACGACCGCAAGGUUGAAACUCAAGGGAAUUGACGGGGACCCGCACAAGCGGUGGAGCAUGUGGUUUAAUUCGAAGCAACGCGAAGAACCUUACCAAAUCUUGACAUCCUUUGACAACUCUAGAGAUAGAGCUUUCCCCUUCGGGGGACAAAGUGACAGGUGGUGCAUGGUUGUCGUCAGCUCGUGUCGUGAGAUGUUGGGUUAAGUCCCGCAACGAGCGCAACCCUUAAGCUUAGUUGCCAUCAUUAAGUUGGGCACUCUAAGUUGACUGCCGGUGACAAACCGGAGGAGGGUGGGGAUGACGUCAAAUCAUCAUGCCCCUUAUGAUUUGGGCUACACACGUGCUACAAUGGACAAUACAAAGGGCAGCGAAACCGUGAGGUCAAGCAAAUCCCAUAAAGUUGUUCUCAGUUCGGAUUGUAGUCUGCAACUCGACUACAUGAAGCUGGAAUCGCUAGUAAUCGUAGAUCAGCAUGCUACGGUGAAUACGUUCCCGGGUCU
rnacentral:rRNA from 1 species